GUGGGUGUAGCUUAGUGGUUAAAGCGCCUGGUUGUGGCCCAGGAGACCGUGGGUUCAAAUCCCAUCAUCCACCCCA
rnacentral:tRNA from 1 species